rnacentral:rRNA from 1 species
UGGGGAAUAUUGGACAAUGGGCGCAAGCCUGAUCCAGCCAUGCCGCGUGUGUGAAGAAGGUCUUUUGGUUGUAAAGCACUUUAAGCGAGGAGGAGGCUACUUGGAUUAAUACUCUAGGAUAGUGGACGUUACUCGCAGAAUAAGCACCGGCUAACUCUGUGCCAGCAGCCGCGGUAAUACAGAGGGUGCGAGCGUUAAUCGGAUUUACUGGGCGUAAAGCGUGCGUAGGCGGCUUCUUAAGUCGGAUGUGAAAUCCCUGAGCUUAACUUAGGAAUUGCAUUCGAUACUGGGAAGCUAGAGUAUGGGAGAGGAUGGUAGAAUUCCAGGUGUAGCGGUGAAAUGCGUAGAGAUCUGGAGGAAUACCGAUGGCGAAGGCAGCCAUCUGGCCUAAUACUGACGCUGAGGUACGAAAGCAUGGGGAGCAAACAGG